GCCAGCCUGCUGCUCCAUUCCCUUCUUUUCCUUUCUUUUUCCUUUUCUCUGAAAGUCUACAAUGCCUCCCUCGGCACUGUUCAUCUUCAACCUCAGGCCAGCCAAUUGUGUCCGAGCUGCUGCCGCCUCCCUUUGAAUCCGCCUCCAUCAGUUGCUCCCGAGACCGACUGGAUGAGGGGAAUUUAUCUCCUCGAUGUUCUCUAUCUUUACCCUUAAAAACCGGAGCUUAAUUCCUUGUAUUUCAACCGAAUCAAACUCGUUUAGAGUUUAUCUCUCCAACCAAACCAUCGGAUUUUCCGGUUUCGAUUCCUUUCGUUCCGAGUUCGAUCUCCUUAAUCCGAGCCUAUAAAUAGCAUCCUCUAGUCGCCCUCUUCGGUUUGCCUCGUGUUCUAGUUGCAGCCGUCGCUCGUAGCGCCGCCGCCGUAGCCGCUUCAGCCGCCUCGCGCCGUCGCCGUGGUGGUCGUCGCCGGUCGCCGUCGCUUUCACCGGGUUCGCGAGGAGAAGCCGCAGACCGUCAAUCCCUUCAUCGGCGUUGCAACCCGCCGGAAAGCCGUCGUCGCCGUCAACCCGAAGCCGCCGCUUUUGGAAGCUCGUCGCCGGCCGUUUUCUGUCGUCGAUUGUCGUCGCCGUCACCACCGUUUCCGAUGUUCCCGAGGAGAGCGUUUACAUUGAGUAAGGUUCAGAAGUGUUUAAAGAAGCUCAAGGCAAGUCAUACAGAUCCCAAACAACCCUUUGAGCAUGUUGAACCCGUUUAAAGCUAAUGUUUUAUUUCAACUUAUGCAUUAUUUUCGAA